rnacentral:tRNA from 1 species
UUAAAAAUAAGCUUUUUUUUUCCUUUGGGGGCUCAUACCUCAAAUAUAUAGGAAAUACCUUUUUUUUAAA